rnacentral:lncRNA from 1 species
UGCGUGGAGGUGUUAUUCAUACAAAAUUAUUAAUUCAAGCCAUUAACAAUUAGCAUUAAUACUAUAAAAGUUCUUAACAACAUUAUUUUUGCUUUAAAUGAAUGUUCAAAUCAUACAUAUCGCUUAUUCCAGCUACACUUACAGUACUAAUGUCUGUAUCAUUACUUUUCAGAAUGAAACUAAACUUAUCUUGUUCACACAUAUUAGCAAAAGAUGGAACUAUAUCACUUAAAUUACAAAAGAGUACAUUUCUAUUAAUUUCUAGCGCUUUACAUUGAAUGAGGCAUAUGUACAAUAUAUAUACUGCCUGGUACAAACUAUAGUUUUAUAGUAUUGAAGAGGUUGCUGAUGCCUGAGGCAAUCUCAAAAUGUCGAAAAGAAUAUCAAUCCUACCAAAACCACAUAAUACCUACAGAUUGAGAAAUAAAAUCCCACCAAAAGUCGAUUAGUAUAAUAAUGAUAAACUAUUCUACAUGUUGAUGACAGUUUAUGAAUGUUGUAGGACAUUCAAUUCUAGUGCUUGUUUCAAAACUUAAAUGUAAACUCUUACUCGUGAUUUUCGUGAUCAAAUCAAAAUAAUGAUCGCUAAAGUCGCUAAAUUUCAUCUCCAAAAUCGAUUAUCAAAGGUACCAGGCUUAUAAUUUACAAUUUACUAUAUUGCAUUGCGAUCAACAUGUUAUUUUUUUUUACUAAAACUUUAGCAUUUUUUU